GAUAAACGCUGGCGGCGCACAUAAGACAUGCAAGUCGAACGGACCAAAACUUUAGUUUACUAUAGUAGAGGUUAGUGGCGGACUGGUGAGUAACGCGUGGGUAACCUGCCUCAUACAGGGGGAUAACAGUUGGAAACGACUGCUAAUACCGCAUAAGCGCACGGUAUCGCAUGAUACAGUGUGAAAAACUCCGGUGGUAUGAGAUGGACCCGCGUCUGAUUAGCUAGUUGGUGGGGUAACGGCCUACCAAGGCGACGAUCAGUAGCCGACCUGAGAGGGUGACCGGCCACAUUGGGACUGAGACACGGCCCAAACUCCUACGGGAGGCAGCAGUGGGGAAUAUUGCACAAUGGGGGAAACCCUGAUGCAGCGACGCCGCGUGAGCGAUGAAGUAUUUCGGUAUGUAAAGCUCUAUCAGCAGGGAAGAAUAAUGACGGUACCUGACUAAGAAGCACCGGCUAAAUACGUG
rnacentral:rRNA from 1 species